GUGCACCAGGCGCGAAAACUCCGCAAUGCGCGAAAGCGUGACGGGGGAACCCCAAGUGCCGUUGGUCUUCUGAUCGACGGCUUUUGUGGAGUCUAGGAAGCUCCACGAAUAAGGGCUGGGUAAGUCGGGUGCCAGCCGCCGCGGUAAUACCCGCAGCCCAAGUGGUGGUCGCGAUUAUUGGGCCUAAAGCGCUCGUAGCCGGACUAGCAAGUCCCUUGUGAAAUCGGGCGGCCUAACCGUUCGGCUUGCAAGGGAUACUGCUGGCCUUGAGGCCGGAAGACGCCGAGGGUACUCUGGGGGUAGCGGUGAAAUGCUGUAAUCCUCGGGGGACCACCAGUGGCGAAGGCGUUCUGCGAGAACGGGCUCGACGGUGAGGGACGAAAGCCAGGGGCGCAAACGGGAGUAGAUACCCCUGUAGUCC
rnacentral:rRNA from 1 species